GCCCUUACUCCUACGGGAGGCAGCAGUGGGGAAUAUUGGACAAUGGGCGCAAGCCUGAUCCAGCCAUGCCGCGUGAGUGAUGACGGCCCUAGGGUUGUAAAGCUCUUUCACCCACGACGAUAAUGACGGURGUGGGAGAAGAAACCCCGGCUAACUUCGUGCCAGCAGCCGCGGUAAUACGAAGGGGGCUAGCGUUGUUCGGAUUUACUGGGCGUAAAGCGCACGUAGGCGGAUCUUUAAGUCAGGGGUGAAAUGCCAAGGCUCAACCUUGGAACUGCCUCUGAUACUGGAGAUCUUGAGUUCGGGAGAGGUGAGUGGAACUGCGAGUGUAGAGGUGAAAUUCGUAGAUAUUCGCAAGAACACCAGUGGCGAAGGCGGCUCACUGGCCCGAUACUGACGCUGAGGUGCGAAAGCGUGGGGAGCAAACAGGAUUAKAUACCCUGGUAGUCCACGCCGUAAACGAYGGAUGYUWKYCGUUAGGCAGCUUGCUGCUUAGUGGCGCAGCUMACGCUUUAAGCAUCCCGCCUGGGGWGUACGGUCGCAAGAUUAAAACUCWWAUGAAUUGACGG
rnacentral:rRNA from 1 species